CACAUUGGGACUGAGAUACGGCCCAGACUCCUACGGGAGGCAGCAGCUAGGAAUAUUCCGCAAUGGACGAAAGUCUGACGGAGCGACGCCGCGUGGAUGAUGAAGGCCUUCGGGUUGUAAAAUCCUUUCGUGCGGGAAGAUUUUUUCAGGUGUGAACAAUGCCUGAGAUCGACUGUACCGCUGGAAGAAGCCCCGGCUAAUUACGC
rnacentral:rRNA from 1 species